rnacentral:rRNA from 1 species
GCAACUCGACUGCGUGAAGGCGGAGUCGCUAGUAAUCGCGGAUCAGCAACGCCGCGGUGAAUGCGUUCCCGGGCCUUGUACACACCGCCCGUCAAGUCAUGAAAGUGGGUAGCACCCGAAGCCGGUGGCCCGACCCUCGUGGGGGGGAGCCGUCUAAGGUGAGACUCGUGAUUGGGACUAAGUCGUAACAAGGUACC